CAUUAAAAAGCUUUAAGUAAGCAUUGGUCUCUUAAAUCAAUAAUAAUAAUGUUACGUUUAUUUUUAAUGA
rnacentral:tRNA from 1 species